rnacentral:rRNA from 1 species
ACAAGGUUUCCGUAGGCGAACCUGCGGAAGGAUCAUUAUCGAAAUCGAAAGCCUAGGAGAAAGGGGGGGGGAUGCGGGGCUGUCGCUGGCCUCUUUGGCAUGUGCACGCGUUGGUCCCUCUCCCGCCUUCGAAGCUUUCAACUUCUCAACACCUGUGUGCACCCGCUGUAGGUCCUUCGGGACCUAUGUCUUCUCUUCCGAACUCGCAUGUCUACAGAAUGUGUAUGCGUCGCGUUGGCGACUGCGAAACCUUUGUACAACUUUCAGCAAUGGAUCUCUUGGCUCUCGCAUCGAUGAAGAACGCAGCGAAUCGCGAUAAGUAAUGUGAAUUGCAGAUUUUCCGUGAAUCAUCGAAUCUUUGAACGCACCUUGCGCUCCUUGGUAUUCCGAGGAGCAUGCCUGUUUGAGUGUCAUCGAAAUAUCGGACCGAAUGACUUCGAUGCUGUCGGAGCUCGGUUUCGGAUGUUGGGAGUGGUGCGGGCGGCAACGUCGGCUCUCCUCAAAAGCAUUAGCUGUGGGCGCGAGCCUCGCAUGGCACGGCCGCUUUGACGUCGUAAUGAUCGUCGUGGGCUUGGAAGUGCGUGGGUUGACGUGUCUCCACGCUUCGAAACCUUCUGCGAGUCCGUCCGUCGUCCGGACGGUCGCACGUAUCGAUGCUUGACCUCAAAUCAGGUAGGACUACCCGCUGAACUUAAGCAUAUCAAUAAGCGGAGGAAAAGAAACUAACGAGGAUUCCCCUAGUAACUGCGAGUGAAGCGGGAAAAGCUCAAAUUUCGAAUCUGGCGGUCCUUGGCCGUCCGAGUUGUAAUCUAGAGAAG